rnacentral:rRNA from 1 species
AACCUUUACCUUCUGAGUUUUAAUAUUUAAAAAUAAGUCAAAACUUUCAACAACGGAUCUCUUGGCUCUGGCAUCGAUGAAGAACGCAGCGAAAUGCGAUAAGUAAUGUGAAUUGCAGAAUUCAGUGAAUCAUCGAAUCUUUGAACGCACAUUGCGCCCGCUGGUAUUCCAGCGGGCAUGCCCGUUCGAGCGUCAUUUCAAUUCCUUCCUGGGUGACUCUUCUACUAAAUUUUUAGUGGGGGUGUCUACUGGGGCGUUGGCACUGGGCGCCACCUUUUUGGAGGCGGCCGGAGCCGAAAUAAAGUGGCGGACGCGCAGCGGCCCCUAGCGCAGUAGAACAUCCUUCUCGCUUGGGAGAC